CCCAGGUCAGGCUCAGGUGUGCCCAGGUGAGGCUCAGGUGUGCCCAGGUGAGGCUCAGGUGUACCCAGGUGGGGCUCAGGUGUACCCAGGUGAGCCCAGGU